UUCAUUUCUCUCAUUUUCACAUUGAGAUCAUGUUUUUCUCUUUCAUUUUCUUAGAAAAUAUUGUCGGGGUGUUAUCAAAGCUCCUUAAUAUAAAGGAUUGAGUAAUGGUCAAGGAUCAUCUCGAGAAGCUAUCUGACAAUCAAAUAAAAGGGUAUUGGUUGCACAAAGAAGGUAUUGGUUGCACAAAGGGUAUUGGUUGUAGAAAUUAUCUUAUCAGAUAACUUUGGAGCUAAAUAGAGAUGAUGCAUCUAUCUUCCACAAGAUUUUUUUUUUUUUUGGAUUAAUUGCUAUUGAAAGUAUUGACUACUUUUUUUUUUGUUAUUUAGAGGGCAAAACGAGUAUUCAUUGUUAUUUAUCAAGGAUAUGUAAUUGCUUUUAAUAGCAUCAAAGUAAAUUUUAAUCAAUGACAUAUUGAAUUUUAUGAUGACAA